rnacentral:rRNA from 1 species
UACGUAGGGGGCGAGCGUUGUCCGGAAUCACUGGGCGUAAAGGGCGCGUAGGUGGCGUCGCAAGUCAACGGUGAAAGCUCGACGCUCAACGUCGAGUCGGCCGUCGAGACUGCGAGGCUGGAGCACUGUAGAGGCUCAUGGAAUUCCGGGUGUAGCGGUGGAAUGCGUAGAGAUCCGGAAGAACACCGGUGGCGAAGGCGGUGAGCUGGGCAGUUGCUGACACUGAGGCGCGACAGCGUGGGGAGCAAACAGG